CAGAGCCAGUAGUUUCUGGCUCGAUGUUUGUGUGUCUGGUGGCGGGCGCCGCGCCGAGAGCCAAGCCACGAGGUCGGGCUUGCUCUUUCCGCUGCGGUGCGCGCUCGUCGGCUAUCUUUACUCUCUGGUUCUCUCUCUCUCUCUCUCUCUUUCUCUCUCUGUUGAUUUUUCCAGCGAUUUUUUCGCUUUCUCUUUCGCCGCUGACUUUUUUUUCAUCCCCGCGACGUCGCGAAUCAUCGCGACGAAGGCCAGUAUAGAGAGAUGUCGAGUUCGCGGACUGCGCUGGGGGAAAGAAGCUGUUGGAACUUCGGGAGAGCGGACGAGAUCUUGGGAAGCUGCCGGAGAGGAAAGGACACAGCGCAGAUGGACGCUCGCCGAAGGACUGGGGAAAAAAGUCGGCUAGAUUGCCGAGGUUUCAGCUGUGAGUGUCCGUGAAACCAGUUUAAAAUGUCAGGAGGACGACGCGUGGGAGGAAGAGUGCAGCAUCGGCGCGCGAGAAAGGAGGAUACGAGAGAGAGACAGGAGAAAAACUAUCCGGAGCGGCGGUGAAUGCCAUAUUUGACGGGCGCAGAGCCAUUUCUUUCUGGCCUUGUGAUCAUGCGGGAGAAGAGGAGUGUGAGAGAGAGAGAGAGAGAGAGAGAGAGAGAGAGAGAGAGAGAGAGAGAGAGAGAGAGAUGACAUGCAUCGAAUCCGUUCGACCUGUGUAUACAUGUAUAUACACCGCAACAGCAGCAGCUGCUGCAUCCGUAGGUAUAACUGUUUGUACAUUGUUCGCACGGCGAGAACGGGAGAAUUAUGCGAGGUCAAUGCGAAAAGUUUUGAGCGCGCGGCUGAGCAUGCUGCUCUGUAUACUCGUUCGAGCUUUCUCUCGCUCUCAAAUACAGUGUGCACACGUAUUUUUGCUUUUUCGAUAGUUAUAAGCGACAGUUGCCUCCGAACGUUGACUAUAUACAGCGGAUAUAAAAGGACGACUCGCGUUUUGUUGUAUAUAAAUGCCGUGUUUGCAAAAUGCAUGAGUGUUUGUUCCGCGCGAUGACACAGUUGAAAACGAGAAACGUUUGUUCGAUUGUAGAAGCUUACAAAGAGUCAUUCUCAAUUAGUGUUAAACAAGCGCGCUUGUUUGGCAAUCGAGGCGAAUAGCGUCGACGAGGAACAAUUCUACAACUGGUAAAUCGUUGCAGGUGCGGCGUUAACACCGAACGAUUCGACUCUUCUCUCCACCCCCACGACUGGAAAUCAAGCAGAUCGCGGAGGGAAAGUGACCACCGCCGGAUAAGCUAUUAUCUACCGCCAGUGCCCGUGACUAUGGUCGGCAAGGGUAGCGCGACAGUCGGUAAUGCAGGAGGGAUGAAACUCUGUCGACGGUAAGCCAACCAGCCCCGGUGAGGGGAGCAAUUUUCACGAGGGCUGAUAAAGUAACGAUUCCGUGUGCGAGGGUCGGUACGGAGUUGCAGCUGCCUGUGAUUUUUCUGAAACGAAUGUUGUUAACAAGUUUGUACGCUGUGUGUUGAUGGAGAGUGAAAACGCGUUGGUUAUAAUUUGGCAGAUGUAGAAGAGCGAACUGGGGUUGACAUUUUCAGAAAUGUAUAAAAAAUAGUGCGACGAACAAACAGAACAAUCGUACCUUUUCGACGUGGGAGAAAAAUCAAUUAAACUUUAUAAAAUGUGAACGACGAAUUCUCGCGCAUGCAACGAAACGAAAAAGCAAAGUUAACCGCAGCGUAAUAAAUAAAUACACGUCGCUGCUCGUCAGCCAUUGUCAGCGCGUUCGGAAACGCAAUUCGUUGUUAGGAUAAAGAAAUAAAAGCCCAUAGCUAAAUUAAGCCUGAAAAGGGGUAUAAUUAAACAAGCGAGCGAGAGAGAGAGAGAGAGAGAGAGAGAGAGAGAGAGACCGCAAAAAAGCGAAUGAGGCGCAUUGUGCUCAUGCGAUGUGUAAUCAGUCACGUGUGGAUGCUGGCAAUACGGUUUGCACACUCAUGUUGAAGGGGAGAACGCGAGCGAGCGAGCGAGCGAGAGAGAAGCAGAAAAAACGCACACGCAGAUAAACACAAGCACAGCCAAGAUCGCAUUGCGCGCGAGAGAGCGCGAAUAUCUCGUUCUAUUUGCGGUUGACGUUUGUUAGAGCCAUUGCGCGCGUAAUGUAUGCUCGACCCGGUGCUAUAGCGAAAUUACCGGGCGCAUGAUCGACGACACGCGAAUUAGCAUCGGAAUCGUCUCCGCAAUUCGCUGAUGGUCAGAGCGCGAGAAUUCGACAUGCGCGCUAUGCUCUCUCUAUGCCCCCGGAAUAAUUUUAAUUAUCGCGACAGCGUUCCGAUUUAACAACGGCUAAGCAUUAUAUACACGCGAAGGAUUGAUUCGACUCACACAGAGUUUUGUAGUACUCAUACGUAAAUACACGUCUGAAAUAUCGGAAGAAUUUCAAACUUGGCCUCUGGCGACGUUCCGAAUCAAUCGGGUUAAAAGAUAGCGUUUCGAGUAUAGAUCGUAAAACGUUUUUGCGCAAAGAAAACCGAUAUAUACAUAGCGCGCUCGUAUAAGGCAGUCGAUAUCCUCUCAAUGGUGAGCGCGCGGUUUUCAAGUGGUUCGAGUGAGAAAAGCCGUAGAGGAUGAAAAAAAGAAGGCGCGCGCGAAAUAAUGGCCAGAACCUUAAAAGCAGAUGCGGGAACAUUCGCGGUUUUAAUAACGACACGAAUAAUGGAGACUGUGCGAAUACGGGCUAGAGUGUGCUAUAGGUGCGCGUUUCGCGAGUCGUUUGCGGUUCAAAAAGUUCCCUCUCUCCCUCUGUCUCUCUCUUUGCUGCUGCUGCGGUAUUCCCGCAUUUGAGUCGAAUUCAAAAGGAAAAAAGACGUGGCGAGCCCUUCUAUCGCUUUUGCGCGCGCUGAUUUGCACAAUGUCAACGUUGGAAGAUUGUUUGUUAAUCAAGAGAGAUAACUCUGUCCUAACGCUACCUAGAAGGCGGAAAGUUAUUCGUCUAUGACAAUUGAAAUGAUGAUUGAUUACUCUUUGUAUAAUGUGAGGAAUGUAUAGUUACCCAUUGUUAUACGUCCUCUAUUUGUUAUAAAUUGAUAUUGUUUCAAUUAUGGGACAUAUUGAAUCCAUGCAAUUUAUAUUACACACCUGUAUUAAAUUACGUUGAGCUUCCAAUUAGUUUGAUACGCCUGAAAAAGAAAAAAUAAUAAAAAUGUUACUUUUGUAUGAUUCAACAAUAUUUUAAUUAACGAUAUAAAUGUCAUUCAACAUCUGUGUAUUGUAUUUCAUGUUAAAUUUCGUUCAUGCAUCAAAAUUAUAUUUCUCAUAGACACUUAUACAUACAUAUAGAAAACAAAUUCAAUUCAAAUCGUUUGUAUUUCAUUUUCAUGAAAUAAAAUAUAACUUCCUCAAUGACUUUAUGCAGAAUAAUUUCCUUAAAAUCUUUUGUAAUAAUAAUAAGUUGUAAGGUUUCUUUUUUGCAAUCUAUUAAUUGACAAAGCUUUGAAAAAUAAUGUAUAACCUUCUAAAAUCAGUGGUUAACUACAUUAAGAUACCAUAAUUACAUUGAGAUACCCCUUUUUAGUUGGUAAAGAAAUAUCGUUGGAUUUGACAUCAUCGAAAGCAACGCAUAUUUGAUGGCAUCUAGUACUAAAAGUGUUUAAGAAGACUUUUUCAAAGAUAGAACAACAAGCGUAUUUGGAAAUCAGAAAACAUGUUUAAAAAAUAACUGACAGUAUGUUUGACAGUAAAUGACAACUUUUAUACAAAACUUGUUAUGUAUCAUAUUGUAAAUAAAUUUUACAAAAAAAAGAAAAGUGCCAACUCAUUUUGUUCAUACGAAAGGAUACAAGACUCCUCUGAGUACUAAAUUGAGCAUUAUCGUUCAGGUAGUCAUUAUGAAAAUUGGUCAAAUUUCAACUGAGUUAUCAACUCUUACAAUAAAAAUAACUACCACAACUA